rnacentral:misc_RNA from 1 species
GAUGAAGAACGCAGUGAAAUGCGAUAAGUAGUGUGAAUUGCAGAAUUCAGUGAAUCAUCGAAUCUUUGAACGCACAUUGCGCCCUUUGGUAUUCCAAAGGGCAUGCCUGUUCGAGCGUCAUUUGUACCCUCAAGCUUUGCUUGGUGUUGGGCGUCUUGUCUCUAGCUUUGCUGGAGACUCGCCUUAAAGUAAUUGGCAGCCGGCCUACUGGUUUCGGAGCGCAGCACAAGUCGCACUCUCUAUCAGCAAAGGUCUAGCAUCCAUUAAGCCUUUUUUCAACUUUUGACCUCGGAUCAGGUAGGGAUACCCGCUGAACUUAAGCAUAUCAAUAAGCGGAGGA